GACGAACGCUGGCGGCGUGCUUAACACAUGCAAGUCGAACGGAGUGGCGAACGGGUGAGUAACAUGUGGGUGAUCUGCCUUGCACUCCGGGAUAAGCUUGGGAAACUGGGUCUAAUACCGGAUAGUGCAAGAUGAGCUCGCGGCCUAUCAGCUUGUUGGUGGGGUAAUGGCCUACCAAGGCGUCGACGGGUAGCCGGCCUGGGAGGGUGUACGGCCACAUUGGGACUAAGGUACGGCCCAGUCUGCUACGGGAGGCAGCAGUGGGGAAUCUUGCACAAUGGGCGGAAGCCUAAUGCAGCGACGCCGCGUGGGGGAUGAAGGCCUUCGGGUUGUAAACUCCUUUCGACAGGGACGCGGUACCUGUAUAAGAAGCACCGGCUAACUACGUGCCAGCAGCCGCGGUAAUAC
rnacentral:rRNA from 1 species